AGGGAUCAUUACAGAGACUCUGCCCUUUGGGUAGACCUCCCACCCUGUGUCGUUAUACCUUUGUUGCUUUGGCGGGCCGCGGGGCUCCGGCCCUGCCCCUGGCUCCGGCUAGGGCGCGCCCGCCAGAGGACUCCCAAACCUGAAUGUUAGUGUCGUCUGAGUACUAUAUAAUAGUUAAAACUUUCAACAACGGAUCUCUUGGUUCUGGCAUCGAUGAAGAACGCAGCGAAAUGCGAUAAGUAAUGUGAAUUGCAGAAUUCAGUGAAUCAUCGAAUCUUUGAACGCACAUUGCGCCCCUUGGUAUUCCGGGGGGCAUGCCUGUUCGAGCGUCAUUACACCCUCAAGCUCUGCUUGGUCUUGGGCGUCACCGGUCCCGGUGUGCCUUAAAAUCAGUGGCGGCGCCGUCUGGCUCUAAGCGUAGUACAUACUCUCGCUACAGACGCCCGGCGGAUGCUGGCCAGCAACCCCCAAUCUAUCAAGGUUGACCUCGGAUCAGGUAGGGAUACCCGCUGAACUUAA
rnacentral:misc_RNA from 1 species